GCCCCCGUAGCUCAGUUGGAUAGAGCAACGGUUUCCUAAACCGGAGGUCGUGUGUUCAAGUCACGCCGGGGGCACCA
rnacentral:tRNA from 1 species